UACGUAGGGGGCAAGCGUUGUCCGGAUUUAUUGGGCGUAAAGAGCUCGUAGGCGGCUCGUUGCGUCGGCUGUGAAAACCCGCAGCUCAACUGUGGGCUUGCAGCCGAUACGGGCGGGCUGGAGUUCGGUAGGGGAGACUGGAAUUCCUGGUGUAGCGGUGAAAUGCGCAGAUAUCAGGAGGAACACCAGUGGCGAAGGCGGGUCUCUGGGCCGAUACUGACGCUGAGGAGCGAAAGCGUGGGGAGCGAACAGG
rnacentral:rRNA from 1 species